GUCAACCCGUGACAGCGUGCGCUGCCUCUAGCAUGAGGCCGCCGGAAUUCGCUAUCACCGCAUCAAGAGAAGCGCUGCAGUCCCCACAAACGGAGUCCACUACCGCUCCCUGCCAGGAGACACCGGAACAUGGACUGCUGUUGACACGCUCUACAAGGAGAACGGGUCAGUGGAAAAAGAAAUAAGAAAUUCCAUCAUUACGUGAGGUGCUCGACCUUGGAAAUCUCUAAGAUUAUUUGUAUUAGCAAAUGAACAGCGAUCGUUUUCUUGAAAAGGUUAUGUUAAAAGUGUCACAGAGUCAUGGCCAGGAGUGCCCCUGGGCUGCAAGAAUAAUUUAAUCCCAAGCCACACUACUCUGACCUUUGAUUGACACACAGGUCUAGCCGCCGAUGACAGCCCUGCUUGUUUUGCCCAUCCCUGGAUCACCAGUAAGGACUACAGCGCAUGCGCGGUGACUCUUGCAGGCUCACAGACUCUCCUUCUGACAGGGGCCAGCAGCCACAGUGGUAACUACAAGGGAAUAGAGACAGUCUAGUGAUGUCUCCUCUUUUUACUUAACUAGUGGAAAUUUAGACGCAAAGGGGUAAAUACCGAAUAUCCCCUGCUGGCAACAGUUGCAAUUUAAAGAACUGGCUUUUGGGAAAUUGGGAGAACUGGCCAAACCCAGAACUGGGGGUUUUCAUAGAUAACCAAAGUCAGAGUGGCCAACCGAUUCUGGCAGCGGGAUGCCUCCUCCCCUCCAUAACCCCCUCUCAGCAUGGAGCCCUGUAUGUCAAUAAUGUGGAACCAGCUAGAAUUACAAAAUGCCUAUAAGCUCUUACUAGAGACAGAAUUCUCCUAUCAACAGGCAGUUGACAGCAAACUGCAGGGAAGGGAGACACCUAGUGGCCAAAAGCUGUAUUUUUUUGGAAGGUUCUAUUACCAAGGAUCAGUUACCGUUCUUUUUGCUUUGUAAUGAUCGCAGGAUGUGCCUUGUGUGUUUUGUUCUGUAUUUUGCUGGCUCAUAUAAAUAACAAUGGGAUUAACCACAUGAGGAUGUCGAAUAAAAACAAAUUCACAGCGAAAGUGGAACUCGAUACUUGGAAGGCUCAGCGGUCCAUAUGUUGUGAGGCAAACUUCCAGCAACCCUGCUGUAUUCCAGUAAUUUACUGCAGAUGAACUUCUUUCCCUAUAACUCAGCUAGAUUUUCACGCUUACAUUGUGCUGAUCCACAAUUUUAUAUCUCUAUUGCUGCCCAUCUGUGCCCCCAUGCAUUAAACCGCUUUGUGUGACUGUGAAGUCAUUGUCGCCCUGUCUUUUGACUUGGAAAUUCUAUAUUUCACUGGUUGAAAAUGAUAUAAUUCUUGAUAUUGUAUUGUUUGAAAUUGCAAUAAAAGCAAACAUAUUGUACGUAAAAGACAAGGCAGGACUCUGCAAGUGCUAAGAUAUAUGUAAACAACCAUUAAAUGGAUUAUUCUGAAUCACAUUACAGCUAUAUUAACUACG